rnacentral:rRNA from 1 species
GACGGAAGGUGCAAGCGUUGCUCGGAAUCACUGGGCGUAAAGGGUGCGUAGGCGGCUUGGUAAGUUGGGUGUGAAAGCCCCGGGCUCAGCCCGGGAAGGGCACUCGAAACUGCCGAGCUGGAGUGCCGGAGGGGAGAGUGGAAUUCCUGGUGUAGCGGUGAAAUGCGUAGAUAUCAGGAGGAAUACCGGUGGCGAAAGCGGUUCUCUGGGCCUUACCUGACGCUGAGGAGCGAAAGCGUGGGGAGCGAACAGG